UUAUUUAUGUCAUCAUGUGAAACAACUUCUGUUGUUGUUCCAGUUCACUCUGAUUCGAACAGCAAUAUUGAAUAUUACUCGAGAAUUUUCGUUGAAUUUGUUGCAAAUUGAGGCUGAAUUGUUGAAUUAGAUCCUGAUCGGUUUUCGAAGAAGAAAUUGAAGUUCAUUCGAGGAUUUUCGUUGAAAUCUCUUCGGUUUGAGGCUGAAUCGUUGAGUUAGAUCCUGAUCGGUUUGCAGAGAAUUGAUUCGAACGUAGAUAUUGCUAUCAGAAGUCCUAAUUACGGUUGUUACGGUUUGGAGUUAACGUCGUUGUUCGUUCGGUCAUCAAUGCUGGAGUUAUUGUGAUGGACUUUUGAAGUGAUUGCAGAAAAUAGUUGAGAUUGACCUUAUUUUUGAUCGAGAAUUCGGAACUAAACAUGGCGCAGAGUAGCUGGGAAGCUGAUAAGAUGCUGGAUGUUUACAUCCAUGACUAUUUGUUGAAACGGAAGUUGCACGAAUCUGCAAAAGCUUUCAUGACUGAAGGCAAGGUUGCUACAGAUCCUGUAGCUAUUGAUGCUCCGGGUGGAUUUCUGUUUGAAUGGUGGUCUGUUUUCUGGGACAUUUUUAUUGCAAGGACUAAUGAGAAACAUUCUGAGGCUGCUGUAGCUUACAUCGAGACCCAACAAAUGAAAGUAAAGGAACACCAGCAACAGCUUCAAAUGCAGCAGAUGCAUCUCAUACAACAACGGAAUGCUCAACUGCAAAGAAGGGAUCCUAAUCAUCCUCCAAUUGGUGGGCCCGUUAAUGCUAUAAAUACAGACGGAAUGAUGGGAAAACCAUCACCCAGCACACAUGGUAUGAAAAUGUAUGAAGAACCCAUGAAGCCUGCCCAUUCUAUGGAUUCAGAAACAUCCCCAGCUCUUCUUGAUGCUAGUAGGAUGGGCCUUCUUAAAUCAGCCACUAAUCAUCAAGGACAGUUAGUGCAAGGAACUUCUUCGAAUAUGUCGACAAGUUUGCAGCAAAUUCAAGGGAGGUCUCAGUUGAAUGUGGAAGUUAAACAAGAAGUUAACAUGGGUAAUACACCGAAAUCUUUGGCCACAGAUCCUUCAUCAAUUUAUGGGCAGGCCAUUUUGCAGUCAAAGUCUGGAUUGGGUACUACAGGAUUAAACCAAGGUGUAACUGGGCUACCGUUGAAGGGUUGGCCUCUAACUGGGAUUGACCAACUACGCCCGGGUUUAGGUUUGCAAGUACAUAAACCAAAUAUCCAAAACCCCAACCAGUUUUAUAUGGCAUCACAACAACAGGUAUUGGCGCAGGCCCAGGCCCAGGCCCAAGCCCAAGGCACCCUCGGAACUUCACCAAAUUAUGGAUUUGUAGGUGGAUUGCCAAGGGGUAAUUUAAUUAUGAAAGAUGGUCAAGCCACACGAAACGAGGGAUCUGUAGGUUCCCCUGGGCAAAUGACUUCACCCAAGAUGAAGUUGCCACAGAUGCAACAGUCUUCUUCACAACAACAAGACCAGCUGCAACAGCAACAACAACUCCAGAUGCAACAGCAACAGAACAAUAGAAAAAGGAAACAACAUUCUUCAUCUGGGCCAGCUAACAGCACUGGUACAGGGAAUACAGUGGGCCCAUCAGUACCAAGUUCUCCAGCAUCAACUCAUACACCUGGAGAUGGUGUAACCACAUCAAGCAGUAUGCAGCAUGUGAACAUUGUGCAGAAAAGUAUGAUGAUGUAUGGUGCAGAUGGAACAGGUGGGCUUGCUUCAUCAACAAAUCAGCUGGAUGACAUUGAGCACUUUGGUGAUAUUGGUGCCCUGGAUGAUAAUGUGGAGUCUUUUCUACAGCAAGAUGCUGGAGAUUAUAGCACAUUAAAACAGACACUUACAGAGCCCAAAACAGGGUCUUCCAAGGGUUUUUCUUUCGGGGAAGUUGGGUGUAUACGAACAAGAAAUAAGGUUACAUGCUGCCACUUCUCUUCCGAUGGGAAGUUGCUAGCUAGUGCGGGCCAUGACAAAAAGGCUGUUUUGUGGAACAUGGAUACGCUGCAAACCGAGAACACCCCUGAAGAACACCAAUACGUAAUAACUGAUGUUCGCUUUAGACCAAAUUCAACUCAAUUAGCAACUGCUUCCUUUGAUAAGUCUGUACGGAUAUGGGAUGCCGCUAAUCCAAGCUAUUGUUUGCAUGCACAUACGGGCCAUACAGCACAUGUUAUGUCCUUGGAUUUUCAUCCAAAGAAGAAUGAUCUUUUCUGCUUCUGUGAUAGUAACAGUGAAAUUCGAUAUUGGAAUCUCAGCCCGUUUGUCUGUACUCGCAUCUCUAAGUUUUUUACCAUCGUUAUGUGAGAUUGCAUCUGAGUUUGAAGGAUGCUUGAGUAGAUAGAGAAACAAAAGGUCUGGAUGCUUGAGUAGAGAGAGGAACAAAAGCAACCUGGCAAUGCACAAGUGAGGUUCCAGCCAGUAACCGGACAUUUACUCGCAGCAGCAUCAGAUAAAAUCGUCUCCAUCUUUGAUGUUGAAACCGAUAGACAAACACAUUCCUUCCAGGCACAUUCAGGAGUCGUUAACUACGUGUGCUGGGACUCGAACGGAGAGUUUCUGGCAACUGUUAGUGAGGAAUCUGUGAAAGUGUGGUCAUUAGCUUCUAGAGAGUGCAUUCAUGAGCUCACUUCAAAUGGAAACCAGUUCCAUUCAUGUGUUUUCCAUCCAAGUUAUUCUACUCUUUUGGUUAUUGGUGGAACUCGGUCAUUGGAGUUGUGGAACAUGACCGAGAACAAACGCAUGACGGUUCAAGCGCACGAAACCAUUAUAGCUUCUUUAGCACAGUCACCGGUUACUGGAAUGGUUGCGUCUGCAAGUCACGACAGUUCUGUUAAAUUAUGGAAAUAAGGUUAAAGGCGCAACAUACCCCUAUUCGUGUUGGAGUUAUGAUUAUGCCUUGUGUAACAGUCUUUUAUGUUUCAUCAUUGAUUUUGAACUGUUGAUAGAUUAUAGCCGAGUUAGGAGUAAUGUCAAGUGUAGCAUGUAUAUCUUUAGCAACUGUUCUCAAAUUUGUAAUAAUUUUACCAUUCGGUUUUCCGUGUUGUUUCACUAUUUCUAGAAAUUACAAACCCGUUAUUCAA